CUGGUAUCCCCCAUCCUAACCUUUUUUUAUUAUCCAGGCGCGUCUCUGCCUGAGGUGCACCAUGUUGCCCAUUUCUUUAUUACUGUACACGUGAUAACAAAAAAAGAGAAGAUGGAGCCUCCAUGUUGGACAUGGCCGCCCCCAGCAACAUUUAUUGACACGGGGGUUACAGAGAUGAACCUGACCCUCAUAAACUCAAACUCCAGUGGAAGCAGAGAGACCUGUCCCUAAAAAAAUUUACACCAGGUGCUGUGAUGAAACUAUGCUGAGUGCAUAGAUGGCCACAAGGGAGAAGGAUGCUUCUCUUCCUGGGGGAGUCAGGAAAUGACUUACAGAUGGAGCCCCGGGGGGGCCGUGGCUGGCCUGGAGCUGGGGUGGCAGAGUCUCUCUCCUGGUUUUGCUCUCACAGAGCGUGACAUCUCCCUGGAGCAAGGUGGGACCACUGCUGAGCUCACAUCAGUCACUGUACUUCCUAGGAAGUUUUCUGAUACAACGUCAUUUCCUGUAAGUUGGGAUUUUUGCACACAGGACAAAACAAAGAUGACAGCUCAUCUCUCUUGACCCUGAAAAAUCUACACGUUUUUAUUGGGCACAAGGCCUACUCAGAAGAAAAUAUAUAUUUCUACACCAGCAUUGUAGCUAAGUGCAAUCGCAGUGGUGAAGUCCUAUGCAAUAUGUAAAUGUUGUGAGAAGAUAUUUAAAUGGAGUGGACAUGCCCAUUUCCUCUUCUCUCUUUCUCCUGGCUAUAAAGUAGAUGUGAUGGCUGGAGCUAGAGUGACCAUCUGGAACCACCUGGUGAACUUGAGCUUGAGACUCUAACACUGCAGAGUGUCAUACCAACUGUGAUGACCUACUCAGACUUCUAAGCACUGGGAGAAAAGACAGAGCACAAAAGAUGCAACCUCAAACUGAAUUUCUAAGAGGAAGACGAGUCUCAGGGCAAUGGGAA
rnacentral:lncRNA from 1 species